CAACUUAAACCUCAAUCAUAAUAACGGCCUUAAGUGGCGGGGGGAAAUUCGUUUCGUGCUGGGGGAAAAAGACUUCUGCAAAGUGAGCAAAUUACCAACCAGCCAGCCAUCCAUCCAAAGGGGGCUCGGAACCAAAACCAAGAGACCACUUUCAUUUUCGUUCGACCAGUUGCCGCGUGCGGAGUAGCGAUCCGCUGCUCAGGAAACCAAAUACUACGCGAUCGCCAAGUCACAGUGACGUUCGGUUUUUUGUUCGAGCGUUAAGUCAGUGAAAUUUCGAUUAUUUUCCGACAAGAAAAAAGUGUCGCAGAGAGUCCUAAGCGCGCAGCGAAAGGAUAAAGUUCGAGCGAGAGAACGUGUGUUUUUCGGUAAAGUGUCCUCGUCAUCGCAACUGUAGUCGUCUGUACUCGCGAAGGAAGUGCUGCAAACUAAUUCUGUCAUAGCCUGUAAUUAAUCAUCCUCCAUUGUUUACUGCUGUUGCUGUUGCUGCUGCUGCUACUAGGGGCUUUGCCUGCUAGUCGCCAAGCAGAAGAACGUCACCGGGUAGUAAUAGGAUUACUACCUUCCGGGACAAGGAUCAAAUUAGGACACGCGUAACCAAGCACCUCCGAGCGACACCCCGUGCUGCACCCCGGUUCGCAAAAGCGGAUUCAACGACAAAAUGAAGAUUACACUUUUGCUCCUUGUCGCCCUACCAUUGCUGGUACUGUCAUCUCCAAUCGAUUCAUCAAGUAAUGCCUCCGUGGAAGAUAUCGAUAGAUCCGAUCUCACGAGAGCCAAACGUUCCGGUUUCAGUCUUGUUUCCGGUCUUAAAAACACACUACUAUCGGGAAUAGGACAAGCGUCGGCCUCGCUAGCAGCUAGCAGCGCCGGGACGGCAUCUUCUAGCAUUGCAAUGCACUCUUCGAGCGGAGGCUCCAGUAGUGGAGGGCACUCGUACGAAAAGCCGCACUCGUACGAUAGUCCGCACUCGUACGAAAAGCCUCACGACUCCCAUUUCGAUGGAUGGGGCUUGAAGAAAUCAAUCCUCAACACGCUGUUCCAGGCGGUGAAGGCCAUCACCGGCGGCGUAACGAUACUCAAGGGUCAACUAAUCAAGGGCUCCGGCUAUGCGGUCAGCGGCGUUGGCAAAGUGAUUGCAGCCGGUGGUGAUGCCGUAUCGAACGUGGGCAAAAAGAUUACAACAUCUGCCCAGCUGGUACCGUCGUCCCAUUCCCACUCUGCCAUCCAUCCGUUCGCCAAGCUGAGUGGUUCGCUGUCGUCCGGCUCAGCCGGUUUGAUCUCCGGUGCGUCGUCGUCCUCGUCGGGCUCGUCAUCAUCGUCUGGACAUCACACUGGCCCAUCCAGUGAAAGUUUCACUAGCUACGAAUCUCCCCACUACGAAUCCCACAGUCACAUCAGUGUUCCAUCAAGUGCGGCCUACAUUCCACCAAAGCACUCGUACAAGACACCGCUGACAUCCUAUGGAACGGAGAUCGAAGCAUACCCAUCGGCCCCACAUUUUCUGCCAACCCCGAGCAAGUCCAAUGUCGUGGAAGCAUCCGAUGUGUUGCGGCAAAUUCUGAAUAAAAAAGUGCCACAGACGAGCUACAGCUAUAACAGCUAUCAGCAAGCGACGGGACCUGCCAAGUACGAGAAGAAGGUCGUCUCCCAGCACGAUAUCCCAGUCGAUUCCUAUCCCCCACCAUUCAAGCCACUAGACACCAACAAAUACCUGCCACCACUGUAUGGCCUUCCCCAUGGUCCUGUCGAAUCCGUUACCCAUUCCCAGUCGAUAACGACCUCCUUUGGCGCUGGCUACAACUCACCACACGUGGAAGAAGUUGAUCAUCCCCAGUACCCACCUUCCUACGAUAUCUACCAUUCCAUGAGCGUCAAAAUGGCCGCCGACGGCACUGACUACCGAACAAAAGCACCUACAGCACCUGGACGACGAAGAAAUCCAUCAACAACAACUCCACGAUUUGAGCUCAAAAUUCGGACCCGGUAUUGAGGUGCAAAAAUCACUGACCUACGAGAUUGACGACCCCGUGGACGUCUCCAGCCUGGCAUCUUCCAUCCAUGACUUGAGCCGACGACGGUCCGACGACAAGCAAGGACUACAGCUAAGUGACAAAGCCUCGGACAGCAGUAGCGGUAACAGCGACAGCACGACUUCCACCCAGACGUAAAGACUGAACAGAACACUGAGUAUUAGACGAACUAGUGCAUUUCCAAGCAAUUUGGACACCAACAUUCAGAUAACGAUGGUUAUGCCAAAAUCGUCGUAGCAUAAGCCGUCCCAGUUGCUGCCAACCAGUGUCAACAUUCAUUGUUAGAGAUUUCAUGGCCGUCCAUAAACCCACAACGCAAAAUACUCAUAACACUUUCAUCGAACAUUUUCUUCUACAGUACCAUCACCUGACUCUUCGCAAGCAUCCACAAAGUUACCCCGCUAGGAUAGGCGUUACACAUUCAGUAAAUAUUUGGCGGAAUCCGUUGGCUCCGCUCCAUUAAACGGUAUACCCAUACAAAUUCCGUUGAAAGCUCGUCCGAUCGGCUUUGGUAAUAUUUACCCAUUGCUCUGAAUUGUUUUGGUUACACUUUUUUUGUUUUGUUCACACGGUACAACAGGUCAGAAAGCAAGCUAUUCCAGUGUAAACCAUAUCGAUUGAGGAACGAACCCCGUGAGCCAGUAGAUAUGUAAGAGACAGGGAAAGGAAAGGAAAAGGACGUGAAUGUACCAUGAAAGGGCGAACCUGGCCCAGCAAAACCGUUUUCACCGAGGUGGAAACAUUUUUCUUCAUCGCCUAUCACAUGAGUGAAAGGUGUUGUUCAAAAUGAUACACAUUCACGCGAGCUCGUUGUUCAGUUUACAGUAAACGGAAAUUCUAGUGAUGGAUGAUGGAAUAACAUUUAAAUUUACAAGAUUUUUGAAUUAAUGGAUGGAUUUGGAACGUAUAGCUUUUGUUUAGAGUUAGCUAUUUAAAUGUACUCUUUAGGUGUAAGCUAGAUGUUUUUUAUGUUUAUUUCCUUUUCACUGCUAACCAUUUGAUGGUUUAGAGGUGCUACUAAUGUAGGUAGUCAGUCCAGUGUUAGAUAUUUUUCCUUUCUGUAUUUAUUGUCUUUCGAUGUUGAAUUCAUUUUUAGCAUCUUCUAAUAAAUAGUGAUAAUGGAGUAAUGUUAAA